AUGAAAAAUAGACGUGCAGAGUUGACACGGGCGGGUGACUUUUUGACACGGCCGGGUGGCUGGGCUGUGAAGAUGGGAUAAGCGGUUGAAAGAUAUGAAAGUUUUCGUGCAAAUAAACGGCAAAAUAGGAAAGCUGGAAUGCAGGGACCACCGUAACUUACGGUGCCACCGUAAGUUACGGUGGAGCUGAAGGCUUUACGGCAGCCCCCUACUGAUUUACGGUAGGGGCAUGUCACACCAGGGGCCACCGUAACUUACGGUGCCACCGUAAGUUACGGUGGAGGCCAGUUGGAAAUCCAUGUUUUGAGAUCAAAAGUUUAACGUUGGGAUUCUUUUUCCUUCCAUUAUUAUUACCGGAUUUGUUUAGAAUUGUCACAUUUCCCGUAUGACUAAAGCAUUUCAUGUUGAUGAAAUGUAGGUUCUUUUUGGAUGCCGGAAGACGAUCAAGCUCAUCGAAGGACCGAACACGAUAAAGAUACAUGCUUCCGCACAUUUCCUCGUCGUAAAUUUUUAAACGACAAACUCGAUCACUUAUGUUGAAUAACUUAUGAUUUGUAAAAGUUUUAAUAAACUCGUAUUUUCAUAGUAUGUGUAAACUUAAUUACACAUCUAAUUGUUGGUAUUUAUAUAUAUAUAUAAAAAAAGUUA
rnacentral:lncRNA from 1 species